rnacentral:rRNA from 1 species
AGAGUUUGAUCAUGGCUCAGAGCGAACGCUGGCGGCAGGCUUAACACAUGCAAGUCGAGCGGGCGUAGCAAUACGUCAGCGGCAGACGGGUGAGUAACGCGUGGGAACAUACCUUUUGGUUCGGAACAACACAGGGAAACUUGUGCUAAUACCGGAUAAGCCCUUACGGGGAAAGAUUUAUCGCCGAAAGAUUGGCCCGCGUCUGAUUAGCUAGUUGGUGAGGUAACGGCUCACCAAGGCGACGAUCAGUAGCUGGUCUGAGAGGAUGAUCAGCCACAUUGGGACUGAGACACGGCCCAAACUCCUACGGGAGGCAGCAGUGGGGAAUAUUGGACAAUGGGCGCAAGCCUGAUCCAGCCAUGCCGCGUGAGUGAUGAAGGCCCUAGGGUUGUAAAGCUCUUUUGUGCGGGAAGAUAAUGACGGUACCGCAAGAAUAAGCCCCGGCUAACUUCGUGCCAGCAGCCGCGGUAAUACGAAGGGGGCUAGCGUUGCUCGGAAUCACUGGGCGUAAAGGGUGCGUAGGCGGGUCUUUAAGUCAGGGGUGAAAUCCUGGAGCUCAACUCCAGAACUGCCUUUGAUACUGAGGAUCUUGAGUCCGGGAGAGGUGAGUGGAACUGCGAGUGUAGAGGUGAAAUUCGUAGAUAUUCGCAAGAACACCAGUGGCGAAGGCGGCUCACUGGCCCGGUACUGACGCUGAGGCACGAAAGCGUGGGGAGCAAACAGGAUUAGAUACCCUAGUAGUCC